rnacentral:rRNA from 1 species
UACGUAGGUGGCAAGCGUUGUUCGGAAUUACUGGGCGCAAAGCGCGCGUAGGCGGCUCUUCAAGUCAGGCGUGAAAGCCCCGAGCUUAACUCGGGAACUGCGCUUGAUACUGUCGAGCUAGAGUGUGGAAGGGGCGAUUGGAAUUCCGUGUGUAGCGGUGAAAUGCGUAGAUAUACGGAGGAACACCAGAGGCGAAGGCGGAUCGCUGGGCCAACACUGACGCUGAUGUGCGAAAGCUAGGGGAGCAAACGGG